rnacentral:rRNA from 1 species
AUUGAACGCUGGCGGCAUGCCUUACACAUGCAAGUCGAACGGCAGCACGGGUGCUUGCACCUGGUGGCGAGUGGCGAACGGGUGAGUAAUAUAUCGGAACGUACCUUAUUGUGGGGGAUAACGCAGCGAAAGCUGUGCUAAUACCGCAUAAUCCCUAAGGGGGAAAGCGGGGGACCGUAAGGCCUCGCGCAAUUAGAGCGGCCGAUACCUGAUUAGCUAGUUGGUGAGGUAAAGGCUCACCAAGGCAACGAUCAGUAGCUGGUCUGAGAGGACGAUCAGUCACACUGGGACUGAGACACGGCCCAGACUCCUACGGGAGGCAGUAGUGGGGAAUUUUGGACAAUGGGGGCAACCCUGAUCCAGCAAUGCCGCGUGAGUGAAGAAGGCCUUCGGGUUGUAAAGCUCUUUUGUCAGGGAAGAAACAGCAGCUCUAACACAGUAUGCGAAUGACGGUACCUGAAGAAUAAGCACCGGUUAACUACGUGCCAGCCGCCGCCGUAA